UGGUAAAUCAAAUAAUAAUAAUCAAGUUCUACUUCGCAGUCAAGGAAUCUAACAAGUUCUAAUAAUCCUUAAUACAUACGCACUCAUGUUCUACUUACAAUACAAAUUAUAAUUUAAAAGUAUAUUUCCUAAAAAUCUACAAGUUUUGCAACUAAACAUUCCAAAUCAAUCAGUUUUGCAACCAAUCAACCAGCAAAUGUUUCAUUAUCCAAUGUGCUACAUCUAUAGAAAUGCGUUUAUGAAACUUAACAGCCUAGAACAAGAAAAAACUACAUUAUAAUAUUCAAUGAUAUAUAGUAAAUGAUAUAAACUUUGUGACUUAAUAUAGCAAUAUAAAAAGCUAUAGGACCGCAUUUCAUAAUACCCAACCUAUUUAUUUAAAAAUGAUAUACAUAUGAGCACAAAAAAAUUUAACUUCAGCAAGAACAGAGUAUAAUUUAAACAAAAUCAUUAUUAUAAUUUAAACAAAAUAUGAUUAUUAAUCAUUUUACAAUAUAAUUUAAACAUAAUAAUCUUCAGAGUUAAAUUGCUCUCAUUUUACAAAUAUUUAAUAUAAAUUAUUAAUAAUAAUAAAAUAUUUCAAAUCAAACACAAAAUUAAAAUAGCCCAUAUUUCUUAAUAUAAAAAUUACUAAUAAUAAGAAAAAAUUUCAAAUGAACACAAAAUUGAAAUAGCCCAUUUUCCGCGCGUAGCGCGGACAAAGACUCUAGUUAAUAUAAGUGGCCCAUGCGCCAGGCUGAUAAUUAAAUAAAAAUAAAAAUAUAAAUGUCCCAUGGGCCGAACAACUAUAAAAUGGGAAUGACUUGUACUAUCUAUUAAAACAUAGUCUUAUCUAAAAUGAUGUACUCGUAUAAAAAGAUAAGUUUAUAUGAUAUACUUAAAUUAAACCACCUAUAAUUGAACUAUCGUGUAUAACAUUUGUUAACCUAAAUCUAAACCAGAGUUGUGUAGAACUCAUUGGAGUUUUGUAGAAGCAUGGCGAGGCCUUUCUGUUCUUAAUCCCAUUAGAGCUCUCGAAGUUGCCAAGUAAAAGCAACAAAAGCAGAGAACGCUCUCCCUUCCGUUUCGAUUCAAAGUGUUGUUCUUUAUGACGUUUCUUCACGUCAACAGUACUGCCCACGUCCUUCUCGUUUUAGCCUACAAAAUAAAACUCGUCGAAGUCCCUGAAACCGUCACCGUUUUCAGAGUCACCCGGACGUUGGAGCAGAACGUGACGGAGGUCGUUCACCGGUGGCAACGUGACGGAGAUCACCGUUUUCAGAGUCACCCGGACGGCACCGUUGAAGCUUCCCGAAGAGAUCUUCAUAAGAACAACCAUGGAGGUUCUGCUCGAGAGGAAUGAAACCUUGAUGUAUAUCAAGAGGAAAUCGGAUUACGUUCUUGAACCGAUUUCAAGAACCGGUUUAGAAUCGAUUUGGAGGAAGAUGAUCGAGCUUGAGACUCCGACAGCUAUAGCUUUCAAUCCAUAUGGCGGCAUGAUGGCGAAGAUUUCGUCAACGGCGACUCCGUUCCCGUACAGAGCAGGCAACCUCUGUAAGAUUCAGUACGAUACUGAUUGGGGAGAAGAUAGUUUAACGAAACGGUAUAUGAAACUGACGAGGAAGUUGUACCGGUUCAUCACUCCUUUUGUUUCCAAGAAUCCAAGACAGUCGUUUUUUAAUUAUCGGGAUAUUGAAUUGCGGACCAAUUUCUCACAAAAUCAGGAGCUAUGUUGAAGGUAAACGUUACGGGGAGAUAUAUUUUGCUGGAAAUUUCGAGAGGUUGGUGGAGAUCAAGACUAGAGUUGAUAGUGGUAACUUCUUCAGGAACGAAAAUAGUAUUCCUGUGAAACCAUAUUUCAAUAGUUGAUUAGUGAAUCUGUUUCUUCUGUAAAUUAUUAUUCUGUAAAUCUUGUCUGUUUUUGGUAAAGCAACUUCGGUUUUAUA